AACAUGGCUCUUUGAGAUUUAUAUAUAAAGAGUCGGGCCUGCCCAGUGAUGUAUUUUUAACGGCCGCGGUACUCUGACCGUGCGAAGGUAGCAUAAUCAUUUGCCCUAUAAUUGAGGGCUAGUAUGAAUGGUUUGACAUGAGCAUAACUGUCUCCUUAAAAUUUUAUAAAAUUUGGUUUUUAGGUGAAGAAACCUAAAUUAAAUUGAAAGACAAGAAGACCCUAUCGAGCUUUAGAAUAAUUAGUUAAAAAAUAUAAAUAAAACAAUUAAUUUUGAUUAAAAACUUUGGUUGGGGCGACUGAGGAACAUAUAAAGCUUCCUUAAUUAAACAAUGCUGAUAAGCAGUGAUCCAGGAAAUCUGAUUAAAAAAAUUAGUUACCGUAGGGAUAACAGCAUAAUCUUUUUUGAGAGCUCUUAUCGAAAAAAAGGUUUGUGACCUCGAUGUUGGACUAGGAUAUCCUAAAGAUGUAGAAGUCUUUAAUGGUUGCUCUGUUCGAGCAUAAAAAUCCUACGUGAUC
rnacentral:rRNA from 1 species